rnacentral:rRNA from 1 species
UACAGAGGGUGCAAGCGUUGUUCGGAAUUAUUGGGCGUAAAGCGCGUGUAGGCGGCUUUGCAAGUCGGGUGUGAAAGCCCUCAGCUCAACUGAGGAAGUGCGCCCGAAACUGCAGAGCUUGAGUACCGGAGAGGAUGGCGGAAUUCCCCAAGUAGAGGUGAAAUUCGUAGAUAUGGGGAGGAACACCGGUGGCGAAGGCGGCCAUCUGGACGGAUACUGACG